rnacentral:rRNA from 1 species
GCGAACGCUGGCGGCAGGCUUAACACAUGCAAGUCGAGCGGGCACUUUCGGGUGUCAGCGGCGGACGGGUGAGUAACGCGUGGGAACGUGCCCUCUGGUUCGGAAUAACUCAGGGAAACUUGAGCUAAUACCGGAUACGCCCUUUUGGGGAAAGGCUUGCUGCCGGAGGAUCGGCCCGCGUCUGAUUAGCUAGUUGGUGAGGUAACGGCUCACCAAGGCGACGAUCAGUAGCUGGUCUGAGAGGAUGAUCAGCCACACUGGGACUGAGACACGGCCCAGACUCCUACGGGAGGCAGCAGUGGGGAAUAUUGGACAAUGGGCGCAAGCCUGAUCCAGCCAUGCCGCGUGAGUGAUGAAGGCCUUAGGGUUGUAAAGCUCUUUUAUCCGGGACGAUAAUGACGGUACCGGAGGAAUAAGCCCCGGCUAACUUCGUG